GGGUAGACUGGGGAAGAGAGCAGACUUGCAACUCUAACAGAGGAGAGCUGAGGGAAGGCAGAAUCUCUCCCUAAGACAGCUGCUCAAAGGUCCCUCCCUGAGGGAAGGGAGGACCUGCCACAGAGACAGCCUGAGAGGGAAGCAUUCCCCUCUUCCCUCCCUCAUAUGAACUCUGGACUUUGGUACUGGUCACACACAACUUCUGGUCAUUUAUUAUGACUGAGUUACAGGCUGGAAGAUUUGAUACAGGUCUGGUUGGUUGUGAUGCUUGUCAAAGUUAUUUGAAAUCCUAGGAAAAAGCUGUUAUAUCAAGAAAUAGAAAAGGCUUGAUGCUCGACAAUCAAUAUUCAGAGCAGUUGUGGGAGAGCCAGGAAAAUGGAUCUUGCAGCACUGAGUCAGCAGCAUGCAUCAAAAUAAAUGUGCUCCAGCUAUGGACAGCACUAAGUUGACCGAAGUCUUCCAUUGACGUAGCUACCGCCUCUAGAGGAGAUGGAUUACCUACACUGGAGGAGAACUACUCCUGUCAGCAUAGGUAGUGUCUAUACUGAAGCGCUACAGCAAUGCAGCUGUGUCACUGUAGCAUUUCAAGUGUAGACAAGUGCUAAGUACUCUAGGACUUGGCCAGACUUGGAUGGGAAACAUCCAAUGAAUGCUCGAAAGCUGCAGAAAGUGGCAGUAGUAAUUCUGUAAUUAUUUUCCCUUUUGAAUCAACACUGGAUCAGCACCCCAGCAUGGUAUUAAAAGCAAUUGUGCUAAUGAUGGUACUGUGUAAAUUGGAGGUUGGGGGCCCUCUGUGGCCAUUCUAAGAACUUAUGACCCGUUUGGUAAUGAGGGAUAUUAACUCAAAUUGCAACAUGAACAGCACAUUCCAGUCAUUUCAUUCUUCCAAUCUAAAUUCCCUCUUCCAAUUCAGGGGUGUGAUAUUUGGAUCCAUUAGGGAGCUUUGCGCAGGUCUGGUAGAGCAAAGCUGCCCUAAAGCCAGGAGAGCUGGCUGGCAAUUAGGCAAUUCUCUGGUGUUAUAGAACAGCUGUAAUGGUUUCUAAACCACCCUGACUCCUGGCACUGGGGUUGUAGCAAGGGGGGGAAAAAGGCAGUGCUGUGGUAUCCCUAUGCUCCACUAAUCUCCUGCUAAUGGAAUGGCUCCUGGGGAUUGUACAUGUACAAUGUAGCUUAGAACAGCCUUACAACUAUUCUAAUAUAUGCCAGGGACCAAGCUGGCACAGAACUGUCCCCAGGAAUAACUUUUCUGCCUCAAUCCCUCCAUCCUACUGCUAUUCUUGACUUCCUGUGCUGGGGUGCAUGCUGUUAAAUAGCUGUUGCAUUCCACUUCAGAGAUGGCUGUAUUCCAAUGUUGGGUGAGGUUAUUCCUGUAUUUGUGCAUGGUUAGUAAAUCCUUAAGGGCAAAAACACAAUAUAAAAUGUAUGAUCCUGUGUGUGCCUGUUUCCAUUAAGUACUUCAUUAACCAUCUGUUUUUAAUAAAUGAUCUCCUCAUUAACC